UAAUACGUAGGGGGCGAGCGUUGUCCGAAUUCACUGGGCGUAAAGCGCGCGUAGGCGGGUUAUUAAGUUGGUGGUGAAAUCCCGAGGCUCAACCUCGGAACUGCCGUCAAAACUGAUAGCCUUGAGGUUUGGAGAGGGAACUGGAAUUCCAGGUGUAGCGGUGAAAUGCGUAGAUAUCUGGAGGAACACCCAUGGCGAAGGCAGGUUCCUGGCCAUAUCCUGACGCUGAGGUGCGAAAGCUAGGGUAGCGAACGGG
rnacentral:rRNA from 1 species